rnacentral:rRNA from 1 species
CCAAUAGCGUAUAUUAAAGUUGUUGCAGUUAAAAAGCUCGUAGUUGAAUUUCGGGAUUGACGUGACGGUCGUGCCUUAAGGGGUAUGAACUGUUGCAGUCAAUUUCUCACCUUCUGGAGAAAUAUGAUGUCCUUAAUUGGGUGUCAUAUGGAACCAGAACUUUUACCUUGAAAAAAUUAGAGUGUUUAAAGCAGGCAUAUUGCUCGAAUACAUUAGCAUGGAAUAAUAGAAUAGGACGGCAUGGUUCUAUUUUGUUGGUUUCUAGGAUCACCGUAAUGAUUAAUAGGGAUAGUUGGAGGCAUUAGUAUUCAAUUGUCAGAGGUGAAAUUCUUGGAUUUAUUGAAGACUAACUACUGCGAAAGCAUUUGCCAAGGAUGUUUUCAUUAAUCAAGAACGAAAGUUAGGGGAUCGAAGACGAUCAGAUACCGUCGUAGUCUUAACCAUAAACUAUGCCGACUAGGAAUCAGACGAUGUUAAUUUUUUAAUGACUCGUUUGGCACCUUACG